UCAGUCAUGUCUAGCUCGGCGGGACAUUUUCCAUGAGGAAGUUCCCAAUCAAAGAAAUGAACAAGGGAAGCAAGGACUAAGGGAACUUUUAUAGCAGCCAUGGGCAGGCCUGGACAUAUUCUCCUUCCUGCACCGAAUGGUAAGAACUCAAAGUCGUUCCCUUUGAAGUCCAUAUCAGAGCGCAGAAACCUCUGUGGUCUAAACAUUUCUGGCUCUUCCCAUAUCAAAGGAUCCCUUGUGAUAGCCCAGACGUUAACCAUGAUUUGAGCGUCUUUAGGAAUUGUGUAACUCAUCACUUGACAGGAUUCAAUAGCACGAUGUGGAAGCAGCAACGGUGCUGGAGGAUGCAACCUAAGUGUUUCCUUCACACAGGCUUGGACGUAGGACAUCUGCAGCAAUUGAGAUUCUUUUAGGUAAUCACUUUUACUGAGUUCUAUCUCGAGCUCCUCUUGAACUUUUUUCAUUGGCUCUACAUUUUUAAUCAGCUCUGCCAUCGCCCACUCGAUUGUUGAGGUAAUGGUGUCUGAACCAGCAGAGAGCAACUCCUUCACAGGGUUAGAAGGAAACUUGUCAUAUAUACUACAUCGCAAUAAAGAACUCCAGCUUUCUUGAAUAUAAGAACUAUGAACUAACAUGAUUACUUUGAUUUUUAUUUUUCAGAUACUACUAAAGACUAACAUGGUUUUUACCAGAAAAUGAAUCUCAUAAAGCAAAUUUUGAUAGAAAGAGAGGGAACAAACCACGAAUAGCUGGUGAAUACAAUCAUUGGGAACACCAUUAUCAAGGAGAGCUUCC
rnacentral:lncRNA from 1 species